rnacentral:lncRNA from 1 species
CCCAAAUCCCCCAAAUUGACCCCAAAUCCCCCCCACCCCACAGAGCUCCUCCUGCCGCCCUCCGCCAACGUUUUCUACGCCAUGAGCGGGCAGAGCUGCGACUUCGUGCUGCGGCCGCGCGGACCCCAGCCCCAAUAAAGGCGUUAUAUGGGAUUUUCUGGGGAAAUUUUAUGGGGUUUUGGGGGUUUGGGGGGCAUUUCAUGGAUUUUCUUGGGGUUCUCAUAGGGCUUCGCAGAACUCUGCGGGGUUCCGUUGGAUUUCAUAGGGUUCCUUGGCGAUCUCGUGGGAUUCCAUGGGGUUUUUAUGGGGUUCCUUGGGAUUUUAUGGGGUUCUUUGGGAUUUCAUGGGGUUCCAUGGGAUUUUAUGGGAUUUCAAAGGGUUUCUUAAGAUUUCAAGGGCUUCCAUGGGAUUUCAUGGGGUUCCUUGAUGUUUUAUGGGGUUCCUUGGCGAUCUCAUGGGAUUCCAUGGGGUUUCAUGGGGUUCCUUGGGAUUUCAAGGGGUUCUUUGGGAUUUCAUUGGCUUCCAUGGGAUUUUACGGGAUUUCUUGGGGUUUCAAAGGGUUUCUUAGGAUUUCAAGGGGUUCUUUGGGAUUCCAUGGGGUUCUGUGGGUCUUCAUGGGGUUCCUUGAUGUUUUAUGGGGUUCCUUGGUGAUCUUGUGGGAUUCCAUGGGGUUUCAUGGGACUCCUUGGGAAUUUCUUGGGAAUUCCUUGGGGGUUUUAUGGGGUUCCUUGGAAUUUAAUGGGAUUCCAUUGGAUUUUAUGGGAUUCCUUGGAAUUUUCAUGGGGUUCCUUGGUAUUCUACAGAAUUCCUUGAUAUUCCAUGGAAUUCUUUGGGGGCUUUAUGGGGUUCCAUUGGACUUUAUGGGGUUCCUUGGGAUUCCAUGGAAUUCUUUGGGGGUUUUAUGGGGUUCCAUUGGACUUUAUGGGGUUCCAUUGGAUUUUAUGGUUCCUCGGAAUUCCAUGGGGUUCCACAGGGAUUUCCUGGGGGUCCCAAUGUUUCUCUCCACCCCCAUUUUCCCCCACGACCCCCCCCACAAAACCAGCCGCUGCCUUUUAUCGAGCGUCCAUGGGGAUUUCAUUGGGGGUCCCACGGGGAUAUAUUUUUUUGGGGGGGGUCUCCGGCCAUCAGGACCCCAAAGCAGGGUGCAGGGGGGGCUCAAGCCUUGCCCUGCGCCCUCUGGAAUUCCUGCUGCAGCCUCGCCAGCACCUCCCUCUGCUGCUCCGACCUCUUCUCCAUCUCCUGCAUCUGCUGCUCGUAGCGUUUGCUGCGCGGGGACGACAAAAUUUGGGGUUUUUGGCCCCCAAAAACAGCCCCCCCCCCAAAAAAAAAAGCGUGGCCAUGCGACCCACAUCUCUCCUGUGAUGUAUUCCAGCCGUUUGGCCACGGUGACGCGGGCGUCCUCCAUGUCCUGCCUCACCAGCACCGGGCCCAGCAGCUUGAAGAUGGUGUUGGUGUCGUCCAGCAGC